AAGGUGUGGUCGUCGCCAUUAUAUCGACUGAAGUGAUAUAUGGCACGUACACCAUCUUC
rnacentral:pre_miRNA from 1 species